rnacentral:rRNA from 1 species
AACGAACGCUGGCGGCAUGCCUAACACAUGCAAGUCGAACGAGACCUUCGGGUCUAGUGGCGCACGGGUGCGUAACGCGUGGGAACCUGCCCUUAGGUUCGGAAUAACUCCCCGAAAGGGGUGCUAAUACCGGAUAAUGUCUUCGGACCAAAGAUUUAUCGCCUUUGGAUGGGCCCGCGUUGGAUUAGCUAGUUGGUAGGGUAAAAGCCUACCAAGGCGACGAUCCAUAGCUGGUCUGAGAGGAUGAUCAGCCACACUGGGACUGAGACACGGCCCAGACUCCUACGGGAGGCAGCAGUGGGGAAUAUUGGAAAGUGGGCGAAAGGCUGAUCCAGCAAUGCCGCGUGAGUGAUGAAGGCCUUAGGGUUGUAAAGCUCUUUUACCCGGGAUGAUAAUGACAGUACCGGGAGAAUAAGCUCCGGCUAACUACGUG